GACGAACGCUGGCGGCGUGCUUAACACAUGCAAGUCGAACGGAAAGGCCCUGCUUUUGUGGGGUGCUCGAGUGGCGAACGGGUGAGUAACACGUGAGUAACCUGCCCUUGACUUUGGGAUAACUUCAGGAAACUGGGGCUAAUACCGGAUAGGAGCUCCUGCUGCAUGGUGGGGGUUGGAAAGUUUCGGCGGUUGGGGAUGGACUCGCGGCUUAUCAGCUUGUUGGUGGGGUAGUGGCUUACCAAGGCUUUGACGGGUAGCCGGCCUGAGAGGGUGACCGGCCACAUUGGGACUGAGAUACGGCCCAGACUCCUACGGGAGGCAGCAGUGGGGAAUAUUGCACAAUGGGCGGAAGCCUGAUGCAGCAACGCCGCGUGCGGGAUGACGGCCUUCGGGUUGUAAACCGCUUUCGCCUGUGACGAAGCGUGAGUGACGGUAAUGGGUAAAGAAGCACCGGCUAACUACGUGCCAGCAGCCGCGGUGAUACGUAGGGUGCGAGCGUUGUCCGGAUUUAUUGGGCGUAAAGGGCUCGUAGGUGGUUGAUCGCGUCGGAAGUGUAAUCUUGGGGCUUAACCCUGAGCGUGCUUUCGAUACGGGUUGACUUGAGGAAGGUAGGGGAGAAUGGAAUUCCUGGUGGAGCGGUGGAAUGCGCAGAUAUCAGGAGGAACACCAGUGGCGAAGGCGGCUCUCUGGGCCUUUCCUGACGCUGAGGAGCGAAAGCGUGGGGAGCGAACAGGCUUAGAUACCCUGGUAGUCCACGCUGUAAACGGUGGGUACUAGGUGUGGGGUCCAUUCCACGGGUUCCGUGCCGUAGCUAACGCUUUAAGUACCCCGCCUGGGGAGUACGGCCGCAAGGCUAAAAUUCAAAGGAAUUGACGGGGCCCCGCACAAGCGGCGGAGCAUGCGGAUUAAUUCGAUGCAACGCGUAGAACCUUACCUGGGUUUGACAUGGAUCGGGAGCGCUCAGAGAUGGGUGUGCCUCUUUUGGGGUCGGUUCACAGGUGGUGCAUGGCUGUCGUCAGCUCGUGUCGUGAGAUGUUGGGUUAAGUCCCGCAACGAGCGCAACCCUUGUUCACUGUUGCCAGCACGUUAUGGUGGGGACUCAGUGGAGACCGCCGGGGUCAACUCGGAGGAAGGUGGGGAUGACGUCAAGUCAUCAUGCCCCUUAUGUCCAGGGCUUCACGCAUGCUACAAUGGCUGGUACAGAGAGUGGCGAGCCUGUGAGGGUGAGCGAAUCUCGGAAAGCCGGUCUCAGUUCGGAUUGGGGUCUGCAACUCGACCUCAUGAAGUCGGAGUCGCUAGUAAUCGCAGAUCAGCAACGCUGCGGUGAAUACGUUCCCGGGGCU
rnacentral:rRNA from 1 species